UACGGAGGGUGCAAGCGUUGUUCGGAAUUACUGGGCGUAAAGCGCACGUAGGCGGGUUUACAAGUCGAUUGUGAAAGCCCCGGGCUCAAUCCGGGAAUGGCAGUCGAAACUGUAAGUCUUGAAUACCUGAGAGGGUGACGGAAUUCCUGGUGUAGAAGUGAAAUGCGUAGAUAUCGGGAGGAACACCUGUGGCGAAAGCGGCGCACUGGACCAUAACUGACGCUGAGGCGCGAAAGCUAGGGGAGCAAACGGG
rnacentral:rRNA from 1 species